CACGAAACCGGGCGAGCUACUAUAAAACAUAUGUUAGUAUCGAUUAUGUAGCAUAAUAAUUAACGAUUUUAUAGUAGGAGUGAUAGGCUCUCAAGUCUGGAGAUAUCUUGUUAACCCUGAAAUGUAUUGAGUACGUUGUCGGUUUAUUAGUGAUAAGGCUAAUAAAGAUUAUUUAUUUAGUUUCCUUAUGUUAACACAGUUUAAUCGCUAGUUAACACGAAUAAUUAACAUUUAUAUCUUUAUUUAGUAGCAUAUAAGGGUAACUAUACAAUGAACGUAUUUAUUUAUACUGUUAGUAUUAGUAAUUUAGUUGUCGUUGAUGAACUCGGCAAAAUUUCUUUCACCUGUUUACCAAAAACAUCGCCAGCAGGAGGUAUUGUUGGUUAGUUCUGCUCAAUGUAAUAUAAAUAGCCGCAGUACCCUGACUGUGCAAAGGUAGCAUAAUCAUUUGGCUUAUAUUGAAGUCUAGUAUGAACGAACACAUGGGGGAAAGCUCUAUUAAUAGUCGCCAUUGAAAUUACUUAGUGGGUGCAAAUGCCCACUGUUAUAUAAUAGACGAGAAGACCCUAGAAAUUUUGAUAAGUAGUUAUGAUAAGUUUUUGUUGGGGCAACAUAGUAGCAAUUAACCUACAUUAAUAACACGACAUAUUAUAGAAAGAUUAAAUUACUCUAGGGAUAACAGCGUAAUUCUUUGUGAGUUUGCGACCUCGAUGUUGGACUAGGAAGCGGGUGCUUAGAA
rnacentral:rRNA from 1 species